rnacentral:lncRNA from 1 species
UGGCAAAUGAGGCUACUUUGUAUUAGGAAAUUUUAAACACUAUAAAACAAUUCCCUAAGAAGAGACAAAAGCAUAAUAAAUUAUGUUAAAUAAGUAUUUCAGAACUACCUCCAGGCUCUGAUUUCUCAAAACCUUUAUUGGCACUAAAAUCUAAGAGAUGAAAUGAAAUAAACCAGUAACUUAUAUGUCCAUUGUCCAACCAUGAGGUCACAAAAUUUAAUCUACAUUGUGGACCUCUCUGCUCCUGUCUCUUAAAAUUAAAGGAAAAAAAAAAAAAAUAGAACAAAUUCCAAAACACUUUUCACAAAUAUUAUACCAGAUGGAUGUAUUAGGAUAGAUCUAAUUUCAUAAUUUAAUUUCAAGAAAUUUGAGAGCAGAACUCACUGCUUGGCCAGAGAUUGUAACAGCUCAGGAGCAUCUCGGUCAUUCACUUCACAAUUCAGUACUUUCUGAACCAGACGCUUGUAUUCAUUUACAUUCGGAGUUAAAACAGCUAAGGGAUAACCACUAACAAGAUCAAUACUGUUUGUUACAAGAAAAAGUCCAUCCUGGGCAAUAUCCAUGAGGUAAGUAAUUGAGGUCUAAGGUGAAUUUCAUACAGUUAAAUAUACAGAGAACAAUGAAAUCAUCAAGCAAACAUCUUUAGCAAAUGAUUUUCAUACUUCCAAUUACUAAUUACUUACCCCAUCUAUUACAAUUGGAACAUUUGACUGUCUUGCAUGUUUCAUGAUUUCACUCACGCAUUCCUGGACAGCAAGUGUUAGCAAUAUGGGCAUAAAAAAACAGGAAAUAAGGAACAGUAUAUGAAAGAUGGCAUACUGUAUAGCCCAAAAUAAUAAUAGUAGUAGGAAAUAAUAAAAGAAAGAAGAGAUGAAGUAUCUGAAAACAUGGUCCUUUGAAUCCUAAUGGAAAAGAUAAGGGAUUUAGAACUCAAGCUGAAGCUUGUGUUUCUCUUAUUUAAGAGUAUGAGGUCACUGUCCAACCAUAGGUCAUUAAAAUUUCUAGGCAAUUAUCUCCUUUGAAAUUAUUUGCAACCAAUUGCCUGAAACUUCUGCAUAUAUGUGCGCUCGGAAAUGUGCAUGUGGAUGGUGUUGGCCUAGCAAAGAAAAAGUGAGGAAGUCAUGGGCACUGUCAUAUUAGUGUGAAUGCUCGUACUAGUUUGAACCUAAAAGUAGCCUAUCAUUUUGUCCACGAAUGGAUAAUAUUUACACCGAGAAAGUAGAAUCCUGAGAGUAAAACCAUGAUCAUAUCUACUCUCACAGCAGAUGGACAUAAUAUUUAAAAGUGCAAUUGGAUGUGGACAAGCUUCACACAGAACAGAAUAUAGAUUAUGAAUUGAUCUCUAUUUCCUAAGCAGACAUGGCAAAACCACAUAGCCUAAGUCAAUAUUCAGACACAAAUUACAAUUAGAAAGGGUCGGUCAAGAACAACAAACCAGCAGAUAUGGAUCCCUUCCAAGGCCUGGACCAACAACAAGACAAUCAAAUCUUUCCAUCCAUUUAUCAACCUCAGCAAGAAUCUUGCUUGAGAUGCGUCUUCUCUCCUCAUCCUCCAAACCACUUCAUCAUAAAUAAAUACAGAACCAUGCUCAUUACUAAAGGUGUAUAAGUUGUAAAGAGCAAAGGAUAAAUUACAAAAAGUCACCUAAUGUUAUAAGAUUCUUCCAGAAUUGGGUGAACUAUUAAUUCCGGACUGUAGCUUUUGAUAACGGGAGCAGCAUCUUUUGUACAGAACACAUGAGAUAAAUCUGCACCCUACAAGUAACACAUAACAAUUGCACUCACUCAAAACUAGCAGGCUUUAAAAGGAUUAAAACAACAAAGCAAAUAUAAGCGGAGCACUAACAAUUUUCAAAGCCGAAAUAGCAGCGAAAUAUGGUGCACCAGUGUACUCACGACACCCGCCAAUCACAGCUAUCUUCCCUGAUGGAGUUAAAAUACAAGGGCAAUCAACCAAGAACAGGAAAAUGAAAAAGGAAGGAAAAACAAUAAUAAGGUGAAAAAGAUAAAGUGUCUUUUCAGGGCUCACCAGCCUGGCCCUUAUGUUUACUAGGGUCGAGGACAGAAGUAAUUUCUCUCAUAACAUUCUCAGCAUCAGCCUCAAAUGUAGUUCCACUCAUUGAUCUUAUAUCUUGCAUUCUUCUCGAAUCAAUGUGAUCACUAUAGCCUCCAAGCGACCUUAUCAAAAACUGUUGCCUUCUAAAAACAGCCGAAGAAGCCAGCAUACAAUUUUUCACAGAACCCAGUGAUGUGAACCCGGUACUCACGCCAUAUCUAAUUAACAUGGGCAAGUACUACUUUCUGUUCAAAUGAGCCUGAAAAUUAAUUUAUUAGCCUCUUAAACUUUUGCCUUCAGCUUUUCAAACAAGUAAUUUUCACACUAUUCUUUUUCUUCUUCAUCAUCAACUAACACAGAGAAUGUGGUGUGAAACGUAAUACACAAAGGAGAACGAGGAUCAAUUAAUUCAUAUAAAUUAGUUACAAACAAAGGGAAAUAAAAGAAAUGAAAAAGAAACGAACCUGUUAAACAAAAGAAGGCUAAAUUCUCUGAUCGUCUUUAGUGGGCAGCUGGAGGAAGUGUUAACAAUUAACCAACGCGAGCACCGAACCAACUGGAUCAACCCAAAGUUAAUGGUUUUGGGAAGCGACGGAUUGGACUUGAGGUGUACGUCAACUUCACUUAUCCACCGUUGGAUCAACUCAUCGGUCAAAAAUAGGGUUAUUUUUAGGGACCUCCCCUGAGGUUUUACAUAUUAACACUCAGAUGGAAUGUAUUGAUGUAUUUACAGAUAUUUCCCUCCUCGUUAGUAUAAAAUAUGUACGGCGUUAGUAUAAAAGGGUAAACAUGUAAAUACAUACUUAAAUUUAAAAAAUAAUUUAAAGUGAAGCUUGAUGUCUGAGAAAUCUUGAAUGUUACACCUUAUUAACCGGAUUUGGGAAAUAACCAGCAGACAAAAGAAAGACACCAACACACUUGUCUUUCUCUUUCACGCACUUAUCUUUCUCUUUCACAUACGCAAAAACUCAAUACCAUAAGCAAAAGCCAAACAUCCACUUAUCUUUCUAUUUCACAGAAGCAAAAACCCAAUACCAUUCCCGAUCUUUUUUUCUAAAGCUGUGAAGAAAUCAAGAUUAAAAAAUAUUUUACCUUUAAAUUUUGGUGUUGGCUCAAGUCUUCCAUAAUGGCGCCGGCCGAGAAGAAGCCGAAGGAUGAGAAGAAAUCCCGGAGGAAGCCGCCUUUGGCGAGAAGAAAAAGAAGCGCGUGAAGAAGAACAUCAAGACAUACAAGAUCUACAUCUUCAAAGUCCUAAACCAAAUCUAUCUUGAUAUCGGAAUCUCAAGCAAGGCCAUGGGAAUCAUGAACAGAUUCAUCAACGAUAUUUUCGAGAAGCUUGCUUGGGAAGCUUUAAGGCCGGCGAGGUACAAAAAGAAGCUGACGAUUACAUCUUGGGAAAUUCAGACCAUUGUGAGACUUGUACUUCCUGGUGAGUUGGCCAAGCACGUUGUUUCCGAGGGUACCAAGGCUGUUACUAAGUUUGCUUCUUUCUAAAUGAAGUUUGCUGCAUUUGUCAGUGGAUUUGGGUGCUAUAUGAUUUGUUUAGUUAGUGAUUUGGGCUUUGAAUUUUACUAGAUGAAGACGUUUUUGUUUUUUUUUUUUUGGGUGGGUUUUUAAGGUUUGUUUGGAUGUACUUGAAAUUGGGAUUUGAUCCGGGUGAUGUGCAUGUUCAUUAUGUGAGAAAAUGAAAAUGAAAUAUAAUUUCUAAAUUAUUUUGUUGGUUCUUUACUGAGUUGUGAUUCGAUAUUGUAAAAUUCUCUUAAGUGAAAUAACUGCAUUUUUUUUUAAUAGGCGAUAUCAAUUGCUUUACAUGGAGGAUUAUGUUGGUCUAUUAAACGUUUUGUAAUUCCAGUAAUCUUAUUGUCAUCGGUUCUCAAAGCUUUGUUUAAUAAUUUAUUAUUUUGGCAGGAAGGAUAUUUUAGUAAUUUAAACAGUCUAUUAACAGUCAAUGUAACGGGAAACUAACGACAGGGGAGCUACCUGUAAUUACAUCAAUACAUUCCAUCUGAGUGUUAAUACGCGAAACCGCAGGGGAGGUCCCUAAAAAUAACCCGUCAAAAUAUAAAGUCACACUAAACGACAACGUUUUGUGAGAUACACAUAAUAUAUACACUCUGGGCAUCUUAAAAAUGGAGACUCAAAAACAGUGAACAAAAGAAUCUAAUAGAACUAAGAGUGUGGUGCGAAAAAAACAAAGCGAAGAGGAGGAGAAUGAGGGAAAGGGCGAAAAUGAACGCGAUAAGAUCAGGAAUAGUGGUGGUGGGAUUUUUGGCAUUUGGGUAUUUAAGCUUAGAGCUUGGUUUCAAGCCUUUUCUACUCAAAGCUCGGCAACUGCAGGAACAGGAACAAGAAGCUCGUCAACAGAAUUCCACAACCUCUACUGAAGAACAAUCUUCAUAAUAUCUAUACAAACAACUUUGCAUCAGGUAGCUAGUUUUCCUUUUCCAUUUGUUCAACUAAAAUAAAAAAAAAAAAAAAAAAAUCUGUGCUUUCAAUUUGUGAUGUAAGAUUAUUUAAAUCUUUUUAAAUUUGUCAGCAGUUAUGGUGUUUGUGACGCACUUUAAUGUCUUGUGAAGUAAGUCAAAAUAAAGAUUAAUGCUUGUUCUAGUGGCACUUCAAUAUCUAGUGAUCAUAUUGAUUGGUUUGGCUAACUAAUUUCUUUUCUUUCUUCACUAGUGUGCUAUAUUUGGUCAUCUAUGUAUAUGUAAUUGAUUUUAAAAUGUAAUUUUUGGCCAUGGAUAUGGUGACGUCUAUAUCAUUUUCUCUACCCGCAUCUGUUAGAAAUAGUCCCUCUUUGACAAUAAUUUGAAGCAGUUUCUUUCUGAUUUCAUAUUUCAUUGACAAGAGACAUUUGUAGUUUAGUGAUAAGGGUGGAAUUUUGAGCUGAAGUUGAGAUGGAUUUUAGUCAUUUUGUGUUGUUUGUACAUUAUUGACAAACUUUUCGCUAUGUAGUCAAAAGUUUUGUGGGGUAUUGUGGUUGUUGUAUUAUUUCAAGUAAUGAAAAAAUGUAUUGGAUUGGCGAGAAACUUAUGAAGGUGAUAAUGAGGGAAAUUGGGACUGAAGAAGGCAAAUGGUUGUGGUUCAGUUUUUUUGUAUGUGGUUUAUGCCAUCUACUUGUGAUGUGUUUCUUGGCAUGGACAAGAUGAUCAGUGUGUUACAUCUUUGUUAGGUGGAAGGUAGAAGGCUUGUGCAAGAGGAAGGAGAUUGAAUAGUACAAAAGGAGGCAUUUAAAUAAUGUUGUGAGGCAAUUUGAGAGGUAAAUGUCAUCUUGGAGAAAGUUCAUAGUUCCAGCUGGCCACGAGUGAUGAAAUUGAAGCUUGUUUUUGAAUUCUUCAUGCGACUGUUUACUCGAUGAUGUGAAAAAAAAAGAUGUUAACUUUAAUAUACUGUCAAAAUUUCCCUCAAGUUGUGAUUGUUUCUUUCGAGAUUAUACCUACCGGCUUAUGGCUGGCUGCCUUAUAAAUGACAAUUCUACUUGAGAAGGGAUUUCGAUGCACUCGUUUGAUGAUUUUGAAACUCAUUAUAUAUCUGUUGGAUUCUUCGGCAUGCAUUGAUAUGACAUUCCCUUGAUAAGUAAAGGAAUUGCCGCAACAUUAUGUAGGCUUGAUGCCUUUAACAAAUGGGAUUAUGUGGUUGGCGUGUUCCUAUUUCAAUGUAGUUUCUCUUCUCUCCUAACCUUUUAAGGUGGCUAAUGAAACCGGAAAAUUCAGUCUCCUGUUGUGUUGAAUGGGGGAGAGAAAUUUACCUUUCUCUUUUCUCUGUUUCUCCCUUGGUUAUCCAAAAUGAACCCCUGAGAUUUAAUUAAUUUAAUAGAAGGGCACACCGUUGCGCCUCUUGUCCAUAAUUUCAGCUUGUUACUUCAGGGACCAAGUUUCAUACCUUUUCACUGUGUCAUUUGCUAGUGAUCUUGUUUUAUUGUUUCAUAAAUCUUUCUAUCAUUUUUUCCCUACUCUUCUUCCUCAAAGAAAUUAUAGAUCUAUCUCUCAUUUGUUCAAGAUCAUUGGAGAAAGAUGGCAAGGCCGAGCCGAGCUUUUACAGAGCGCAACCCCAGCCCGUGCAUAUUUUUGAAGCCCGGGUUGGUCUGGGCUCUCUUGGACUGGACUUUAUUAUAGCAGGAAAGUCCUCACUCUCGGGUUAGGCCUGCUUGAUGAUUGCG